AUUGAACGCUGGCGGCAGGCCUAACACAUGCAAGUCGAACGAGUGGCGGAAGGGUGAGUAAUGUCAGGGACACUGCCUGAUGGAGGGGGAAAACUCCUGGAAACGGUAGCUAACACCGCAUAACAUCGAAUGUGCUCAAAUGGGACUAGAUAGGAGGGGGGGUAAAGGCUCACCUAGGCGACGAUCCCUAGCUGGUCUGAGAGGAUGACCAGCCACACUGGAACUGAAGCACGGUCCAGACUCCUACGGGAUGCAGCAGUGGGAAAUAUUGCACAAUGGGCGCAAGCCGGAUGCAGCCAUGCCGCGUGUGUGAAGAAGGCCUUCGGGUUGUAAAGCACUUUCAGCGGGGAGGCGUUACCCGCAGAAGAAGCACCGGCUAACUCCGUGCCAGCAUCCGCGGUAAUAC
rnacentral:rRNA from 1 species